AGAGUUUGAUCCUGGCUCAGAUUGAACGCUGGCGGCAGGCCUAACACAUGCAAGUCGAGCGGAUGAAGGGAGCUUGCUCCCUGAUUUAGCGGCGGACGGGUGAGUAAUGCCUAGGAAUCUGCCUGGUAGUGGGGGAUAGCGUUCCGAAAGGAACGCUAAUACCGCAUACGUCCUACGGGAGAAAGCAGGGGACCUUCGGGCCUUGCGCUAUCAGAUGAGCCUAGGUCGGAUUAGCUAGUUGGUGAGGUAAUGGCUCACCAAGGCGACGAUCCGUAACUGGUCUGAGAGGAUGAUCAGUCACACUGGAACUGAGACACGGUCCAGACUCCUACGGGAGGCAGCAGUGGGGAAUAUUGGACAAUGGGCGAAAGCCUGAUCCAGCCAUGCCGCGUGUGUGAAGAAGGUCUUCGGAUUGUAAAGCACUUUAAGUUGGGAGGAAGGGCAUUAACCUAAUACGUUAGUGUUUUGACGUUACCGACAGAAUAAGCACCGGCUAACUUCGUGCCAGCAGCCGCGGUAAUACGAAGGGUGCAAGCGUUAAUCGGAAUUACUGGGCGUAAAGCGCGCGUAGGUGGUUCGUUAAGUUGGAUGUGAAAGCCCCGGGCUCAACCUGGGAACUGCAUCCAAAACUGGCGAGCUAGAGUACGGUAGAGGGUGGUGGAAUUUCCUGUGUAGCGGUGAAAUGCGUAGA
rnacentral:rRNA from 1 species